CAUGCAUUGGUUGCCUCCUGCCCGCACCCCAACCUGGGCCUGGAUGAAACUGCAACACAGAUUGGGAAACUGAGAUAAAGCAGGAGGAAGUAACUGGUCUAAGCAAGUAAACACAGUUCCACUGACCACAGGACACCAAGUUGGAUUUCUGCCCAAGAUGUCAACAUGUAUCGCCUGGCUCCCCACUCCCUCGCCCUGUCUCCAGCUGUGUUUUCUUUGGAUUUCUGCAUGGCUUGGAGAAGCUGUGUCAGCCCAUCUCCCAUCCUGACCUUUCUCCCACCCCCAACACCCACCCUGGCCAUCCCUCAGGAAGUGACCUCCACCCUCUCCCUCUGCCUGAGCCCAUGAGCAUUGCAAUGCAUGUGCCUGUAUUGGUCAGCAUGGGUGAGCCUGGGCACCUGUGAUAGGGGACCCAGUUAGAACUAGGGGCAGAGUGUGUUGGGUGGGGGAGGGGGCAGAUUCAGGCUAGGAGAUUAUAUCUCCCAAACAGGUGGAAUGACCACUUGUUUCAAGAAAGCAGUUGGACAGAACUGUCCCCUUGGGGGGCAGACAUUUACCAAAUGGAGAGACGGGAAAUAAAGGGCUAUGGCUUUCUGAGUUCAGUUCAGAGCUGUCGACAGCUUUCUGUGGCGUCUAAACCUUGGAGACCUGGUCUUUUGCCUUCUCCCAUUUCCCAUUUGCCUUCUCCCAUUUCCUCCUUGCAGACCAGUUCCUCUUUUCUGUCGAAGGAGACAGCCACCUGGUCCCCAAAGGCCCUUCCAGGGCCUUCCUAACGACUGCAAGAAGCACCCAACACAUUCCAGCAUCUUGAAAAUUUUUCCAUGAGGCUCUAAUACUACACAAAUGCUGACAUAAACAGACUUUGAUCUGACAAGGACUGCCAGCCCUCCAUCCAGGAAUCAUGAGGACAUCUUAGCCCUCCAGUUUCCCUCCUCUCUUCACCCUGCUAGAUCCAUAAUUCAUCACCCCCUUCCCACCCCACCCUCAGUGCUAAAUUCUGCUCCUCUCUGUUUUCUCCAUCUCAGAUCAUGGCACACCCUCCACCCAGAUGCUCGAUUGAGUCAAAAACAACAGGAGUCAUGUUUAACUCCUGUUUUCUUUCUACCACAUGUCAGCAAAUAAUUGUGUCUCCACCUCCCAAAGAUGUCCCACAUCUAUACUUUCUCUUCCAUUUGCACCAACACUAGCGCAGUGGUCGGCAAACUCAUUAGUCAACAGAGCCAAAUAUCAACAGUACAACGAUUGAAAUUUCUUUUGAGAGCCAAAUUUUUUAAACUUAAACUAUAUAGGUAGGUACAUUGUUAUUAACUUAAUUAGGGUACUCCUAAGGCUUAGGAAGAGCCACACUCAAGGGGCCAAAGAGCCGCGUGUGGCUCGCGAGCCGCAGUUUGCCGACCGCGGCACUAGUGCAAGCCAGUUUCAUCUUUUACCUGGACAACUUGCCCCACCUCCCUGCCCCACUAUUGCCCCUGUAGUUCUAGUCUUACUGCACUAACCAAAGCCAUCUUUAAAAAUAGAAACUAUAGCAUUUUACCACCCCUCUCAAAACCCUCCAUUGCCCCCUCCCCCCAUUGCACACAAAAUAAAAGCUGGACUCUGGCCAUGACCGCUGAAA